rnacentral:rRNA from 1 species
AUUUGGCGGUAUUUUAGUCUUUUUAGAGAAACCUGUUUUAUAAUUGAUAAUCCACGAUUAAUUAAACUUAAUUUACAAAUUUAUAUAUCGUCGUAGGUUGAAUAUCUUGAAAGGGAAAGAAUAUUCAUAAUUUAGAAUUAAUAAAGGAAAUCAGAUCAAGGUGUAGUUUAUAAUUAAGUAAUAAUGGGUUACAAUAAAUUUAUUUAAAUGGAUAUAAUAUUUAAAAUUAUUGUUGAAAUUGGAUUUGAUAGUAAUAUAUUUAAUUUAAAAUAUAUGAUUUUAGCUCUAAAAUAUGUACAUAUCGCCCGUCGCUUUCAUCAAAAUAUUAAGUUGAAAUAAGUCGUAACAUAGUGGGUGUACCGGAAGGUGUACCUAGUUUGAAACAAAUUAGAGCUUGCUAAAAAGUGUUUUAUUUACAUUAAAAAGUUAAUUGUGUAAAUCAAUUUAAUUUGAGAUUAAUAAAUUUAUUUUUAAAAUAAUUAUUUAAUAUGCAAUUUUUAAAAAAAAUAUUUUUUUUUUUUUAUAAUUAUAGAUAAAAUUAUUUUUAUUAUAGUAAAUUAGUAUAGAGAUAGAAUUUUUAAAUAAAUUUUUGAAAUAAAUUAAAUUUUUAAAAGAAAAUUUAAAUUAUUGUACCUUGGGUAUCAGGGUUUAUUAAAUAAUAAUUAAUUAUUUUAAUUUUCUCGAAUUUAAAAGAGCUAAAAAAUUAUAAAUUUUAUUGUGAAAUAAAUAUUUAAAAUAAUUUUUAGAAAUGAAAACGUUUUCGUUUUUAAAUUUAUCUAGUUUUUUAAGAAAUGAAUUUAAUUCAGAUUAUUUAUUUUUAUUUUGAUAAUUAAAUAUUAAAAUAAAAUUUAUAAUUAAUAUUUUAAGGGAUAAGCUUUAAAAUAAAAUUGUUAAAAAUAAAUUAAAUUUUUUAAAAUUAAUAGGGGUGGAAGUAUUUAUUAUAAUAAGUGUGUUAUAACAAAUUUUAAAAGAAAUAUAAUUUUUAUAAUAUUUUAAUUUUUUUAUUAAAAUUAUUAAUUUAAUAUUAAGAAUUAAUGUAAUAAUGAUAAAAUUAGUAUAAUUUAAUGUAAUAGUAAUUUAAUAAAUAAAGGUUAAAUUAAGGAACUCGGCAAAUAUUUUUUUCGCCUGUUUAUUAAAAACAUGUCUUUUUGAUUAUAAUUUAAAGUCUGGCCUGCCCUCUGAUAUUGAAAAUAUUGAAUGGCCGCGAUAAUUUGAUCGUGCAAAGGUAGCAUAAUAAUUAGUUUCUUAAUUAGGAACUGGAAUGAAAGGUUGGACGAGAAAAGAGCUGUCUCUAUUUAAUUUUAAUUAGAAUUUUAUUUUUAAGUAAAAAAGCUUAAAUAAAUUUAAAAGACGAGAAGACCCUAUAGAGUUUUAUAUUUAUUAAAUUAUUUUUUAGUUUAGGAAUUUUAUUUUGAAAUUAUUUAAUAAAUAUUUAGUUGGGGCGAUUGAAAAAUUUAAUGAACUUUUUUUAUUUAUUUAACAUUGAUAUAUGAUUAAUUGAUCCAUAAUUUAUGAUUAAAAGAUUAAAUUACCUUAGGGAUAACAGCGUAAUUUUUUUUGAGAGUUCUUAUCGAAAAAAAAGUUUGCGACCUCGAUGUUGGAUUAAAAUAAACUUUUGGUGUAGAAGCUAAAAUAGUUAGGUCUGUUCGACCUUUAAAAUUUUACAUGAUCUGAGUUCAAACCGGAGA